GCAAACCUGUCCAGAGGAGGAACCACCGAAUUGCAUUUCUCUGAGCAGCUGACUCGUGCCUCAGAUUUGUUGGAACAGAACCAUCUCCAAGAUCUGAGAUUCCCUGGCCUCUUCUAUUCAUCUGCAGAGUGAGAAGAAAACCAAGAGGAUGCAUGAGGGUCAUGAGGAAACCAAGAAAAGUAAAUCUUCUGACUGGGAGAAGAAAGGGUUACAAAGUCAUUUGUAAAUGGAAGGAUAUGGGGA
rnacentral:lncRNA from 1 species